rnacentral:rRNA from 1 species
AACGAACGCUGGCGGCAGGCUUAACACAUGCAAGUCGAACGCAUCCUUCGGGGUGAGUGGCAGACGGGUGAGUAACGCGUGGGAACGUGCCCUUCAGUUCGGGAUAACCCAGGGAAACUUGGGCUAAUACCGGAUACGUGCGAGAGCAGAAAGAUUUAUCGCUGAAGGAUCGGCCCGCGUGUGAUUAGCUAGUUGGUGGGGUAAUGGCCCACCAAGGUGACGAUCAGUAGCUGGUCUGAGAGGAUGAUCAGCCACAUUGGGACUGAGACACGGCCCAAACUCCUACGGGAGGCAGCAGUGGGGAAUAUUGGACAAUGGGCGCAAGCCUGAUCCAGCUAUGCCGCGUGAGUGAUGAAGGCCUUAGGGUUGUAAAGCUCUUUCGUCCGGGACGAUAAUGACGGUACCGGAAGAAGAAGCCCCGGCUAACUUCGUGCCAGCAGCCGCGGUAA